rnacentral:rRNA from 1 species
GUCUACGGCCAUACCACCCUGAACGAGCCCGAUGUCUUCUGAUCUCGGAAGCUAAUAAGCAGGGUCGGGCUUGGUUAGUACUUGGAUGGGAGCAAUAAACU